GGCUCAGGAUGAACGCUAGCGGCAGGCUUAAUACAUGCAAGUCGAGGGGCAGCAGGGUAGCAUAUCGCUGGCGACCGGCGCACGGGUGCGUAACACGUAUACAAUCUGCCUUUAACAGGGGGAUAGCCCGGAGAAAUCCGGAUUAAUACCCCAUAAUAGUAGAACUGACAUCAGUUUAUUUGAAAGCUCCGGCGGUUAAAGAUGAGUAUGCGUCCCAUUAGCUAGAUGGUAAGGUAACGGCUUACCAUGGCAACGAUGGGUAGGGGUCCUGAGAGGGAGAUCCCCCACACUGGUACUGAGACACGGACCAGACUCCUACGGGAGGCAGCAGUGAGGAAUAUUGGACAAUGGGCGCAAGCCUGAUCCAGCCAUGCCGCGUGCAGGAAGACGGUCCUAUGGAUUGUAAACUGCUUUUAUACAGGAAGAAACACCUCUACGUGUAGAGACUUGACGGUACUGUAUGAAUAAGCAUCGGCUAACUCCGUG
rnacentral:rRNA from 1 species